rnacentral:rRNA from 1 species
AAGACCUUGCGCUUUUGGAGCGGCCGAUGCCUGAUUAGCUUGUUGGUGAGGUAAAAGCUCACCAAGGCUUCGAUCAGUAGCUGGUCUGAGAGGACGACCAGCCACACUGGGACUGAGACACGGCCCAGACUCCUACGGGAGGCAGCAGUGGGGAAUUUUGGACAAUGGGGGCAACCCUGAUCCAGCCAUGCCGCGUGAGUGAAGAAGGCCUUCGGGUUGUAAAGCUCUUUCAGCCGGAACGAAACGGUCACGGCUAAUACCCGUGACUACUGACGGUACCGGAAGAAGAAGCACCGGCUAACUACGUGCCAGCAGCCGCGGUAAUACGUAGGGUGCGAGCGUUAAUCGGAAUUACUGGGCGUAAAGGGUGCGCAGGCGGUUUUGUAAGUCAGAUGUGAAAUCCCCGGGCUUAACCUGGGAACU